AUAGUGGAUAAAGCUCCCGGGAGGAUGCCUCGGUGCGGGGCGCGUCGCCCCCCUCAGGCCACCAGAGCCCGGAUACCUCAGAAAUUCGGCUCUGGGUCUGUGGGGAGCGAAAUGCAACCCAAACCCCGUUUCCCCGAAGCCCCGCGCAGAUAAACACGCACAAGCACGCACACAGACGUCGCCUCGGCCCGCACUCGCAGCCGCAGGUCCAGGCGUCAGGGAAGAGCCCGGGGGCCCCGCGAUGGGUCGCCGCCUUCGCCUCGUAGCCCCGGGCGCGGCCGCUCGCCCUCGCCUCUCGCAGGUGGCGACAGAAGUGCCCGGCGCGACGGCGCAACGGCCGGUCUGGGCCUGCAGCCUCGGCGGCCCGGGCCGGAGGGGAGCGGCCUCCGGACACCGGUAGGCGGGGUUGCGGGGCAGGCGGGGAGCCGGGGAGGGACAGGCGGAGUCGGCCACGGACGACUGGCUCCCGCUGCGCUUUCCCGACCCACGGCCCGCAGCCGCGGCCCUUGAGCUGAGCAGCGGCGGUUCCCGGGCGGCUGGGCGCUCGCCGGCCUCGCCGUUACCGUUGGAGGUGACCUAGGCGCGGCGGGUGGGCUCCGGCGACGGAGGCGGCCGCGAUGGUGUCGGCCCGGGAGCAGGGCCGUUGCCUCUAGCUUAAUACGGCAGAUGCGCGGAAACUCCAACAGGUGGCUCCGUGGCGCAAUGGAUAGCGCAUUGGACUUCUAGAGGCUGAAGGCAUUCAAAGGUUCCGGGUUCGAGUCCCGGCGGAGUCGGAACAUUUUUCUUUUGUCACCGAGGAAAUUAUCUUUGAUUUCUGUCUUUUACUCCUUUUCUUUGUAUUCUAAACGGCUUAAUUCCCAGCACAGCCACACACCAUUCCCGCUGCUCUCCGCAACCCUUACCUGGAGUUCCGGGAGCUUUCAGACCCCUUUAGCAGACCCGGACCGAUCCCAGUCGAGAGAACAGGGAGGCAGUAGAGAAUCCAGGUGCUCGACCUUGGCCUAAAUGAGAGCUUGAGAUAGGCCUGGGUCUCGAGUGACAUUCCACGUCUGGAGCUUGACAGUGACUGCCAGCAGGGUCAAGAAAACAGGAUGCGCAAGCUAGUCCGAAGGCAUUAGAAGUACACCACCUCACCUCACCCCACCCCGCCUCCGGAAUCUCGAGUGGAUCUUGUUUUGUUUUUUUGUUUGUUUGUUUGUUUUGUUUUUUAAAAAAGGCAGAUCUCUGUGGUCAUUUCAUGAUUCCAUUUCGGUGGAUCUGGAAUGGGGCCCAGAAAUCUGCAUUUCUGGGGUUGUCUGCUUUCUUCACGAAAGGAGACAGGUUGGAGUUGACAGGCUUUGCCUGCCAGCUAGAGGCAAGAGUUACUGUCUUGUCCCCUUCUGACAAGUGACAAAACUAGCUUUGCACAGAGUGAGCGUUUCACUUCACCAAGUGCCAGUAUGCAUAGUUUUUAAAAAUUCACUGUACCGACAAAACCCCUAAUUUAUGCAAACCGUUAAAAAAAUCAAAAUUGUCGGUAAAAACACACUUUCACAGUAUAUUUCACCUCUUUCGGUUAAUACAGGUGGAGCUGCACUGCUCGGUUGUGUCCCGCUGAUGGAAUAGCUAAUACUUAGACCUUUAGACAGGCAUUGUUCGCCCAUUGCAGUCCUUGAGUGGACAUCCUGUUCUUUGUGCACAAGUGUAUCUUUACAAUAGAUUCCUAGGAAGUUGGACCGCCGGCUCCAGCCGGUUCCAGCGCUCCCAAUCUCUGCCUGCUUUGAUAAGGUUUGGCAGCUUCCCCUCAUACACUCUGCUCACUUUAUUCACCCCAGCAGUGUGGGAGAAUGCCUGUUUCCCACAACCCCCAUCCCCCGAAACAUAAACACUUAAUCGUAGUUUUCAACCCACUUCUUCAUGCUCAGGGUAACUUGUACUUUGUUUUCUGUGAUUUAUCUGUCCUAGGAUUGAGCUCAUUUUCAUAUUGCGUUGCUCACACCCACGUAGGAUGGUUCUAAUAGGAUGUUUGUAUUAGUUUGUAGUUCUUUACCUAGGAGAGAAAACAGCCUUUGUUUUAAUAAAUUCUGUUUUCCAGUCUACUUGUGUGCUUAUGAAACGUUUUCCUCCCACAGAAAUUCACAUACUGUAAUUGACCAGUGUUGCUAGCUUCUAAGUGUGAAGGCCCCCAGAGUGUUAGUUCCCUUUUAAUGGUUUUCUUUUUAAACCUUUGCCCCAUCUGAAAUAUCUUUUGGAAUGGGAGUUCUGUCCCAGAGUUGCUGGUGUUGAGCCUCUGUGUCCUCUGUACUAAUUUGAAAUGCCACCUUCAUUGCUGUCUAAAGCCCAGUACACACUUCUCUUUCUGGAUUUUCUAGUUUGCUGCAUUGGUCUGAAAUUUUUGUGUGCUAGUAUACAGUCUAGAGGGGUCAAGUUAUUUUUUUAAUUUCCUUGCACAAUCAUGAAUUAUUCAUUAAUAUAAUAAUAAAGUAGCUUGGUCACAAGCUACACAUGCUGUGAUUUAUAAAUUAUGAAUAAGUCCCCCUUGUUUGAUAACAUGGACUGUGGGAAACAAGCAUUCUGACACAUUGCUCGGGAGACUAGAGAGAGUAUAGGCUCUAGUGAGGACGUUAGACAUCUUUUUGUCUCCGCCAGACAAGAUAAUAAGUUCAUUCUGACUCGAGGUUUCAGAGGUUCUGAAGAAGGAACUACAGCUUGUUGUCCAAAGAAAGGAGAGGCAAACUCUGGACCCUUUGUGUGCAUCGCAGGCCUGCCCUCAACAGCUUCCUCAUAAAACAGUGCACUAGGCAAAAGGCCAGGAUGUCUACAGACCUAGUCCUUUCUGACCUCACUGAGAGCUGCUGGAGAAUGAGGAAGUCACAACAGGGAAUCCAAGUAGAAGCUCUUACUAAGGGAAAGGCCAGUUCCUCAAGACUCACUGCGGAAGCCUCCAGAUCACCUUGGCUGACAACCGGUCAGCAAAAUCGCCGCAUUUACCUUUAGUUGAUUAAACUCACACAGCCAGGCAGAACACGUUAGCUUCCUGCUAGCUUAAGAGAAAUAACAAUUCUGACAUGUGGGUCCUGGGACCCCCGUUAGUUGUCUGGGUUACUUUGUAGAAACUUGAGUGAACUUUUGCUAAGUUAGGAGUCUCCUCUGGAGCCUACAAUACCUGAUGGAUAAAUACAAUAAAAACAUAAAAUAAGAAGGCUUUGCAUCUGUCUUCCUAUAGUGUCCGACCCUUUUGCAGUCUUAACUCCUGGGUCAGCUCUACUUACAGAUGUUUAUCACUUAAAGCACUGCUUUGUCCCUUGCCCUGUUGCCUGUUGGAACUGGUGUUUCUUCUACCCCUCCCUUGUGUGUCCUAGGCAGCUUAUGCAUGGGCAGUCUAUACCAUGAGACCAGAAUGUUUGAGGAGUAACUCAGCAGUUUCCGAGCAAAGCUGGCCACCAAAUUAGCCCAUGAAAUAAAAGGAUAGUGUGUGUGUGUGUGUGUGUGUGUGUGUGUGUGUAUGUAUGUGUGUGUGUGCAUAAGAAGCCUAUCUUUUGGAAACUUUUGGGACUAAUGGACAGUGAAACUUUAGUUCAUCCCCCAAAAGUCAAAAGCCACUCUUUCAUUUGGUAAAGCUAGCACCACGGUCACCUUUUUGGUCAGUGUUAUCUCUCUUUUACUCUUAUGCUAAAGAGCCCAUAAAUGGGAGCUCUGCCUUGCUUGUCCAGGUUCAUACCAUAUGCUUGGAGCCUAGCUCGAAGACACAGAUUUAGAAUCUGAACUACUCUGGAGGCUGAGGCAAGAGCAUCAGAGGUUCAAGGUCUGCCUGUAGAAACACCCCCAUUUCAGAAGCUCUAGAGAGGCCUGACACUACAACACAGAGCCUGUACACUACUCAGAAAUGCAAAAAGCCAAUAUUGUGACUUGGUCUCAUUUCUGUUGUUCCCAAGCCAUAAAUCCUGCUAUCUAAUCUCAGUCCACAGUUCCUUGGCUUGGAUGCUUCUGUGUUCAUGUUGAGGCAGAACACCACGGCAAAGAAACAAGUAUAGAGCAACACAGGUCACAUCAGCAGACAGAAGGAGGGCAGGGGUAGCAGAAGCAAGACAAUAGACUUCCCAAAAGCAUGUCCUCAAAUACCUGCUCUCAACGAGGUCCUAAGUUUUCACAUCCUAAUAGCCCAUCAAAGGAUCAAUCUAUAGAUGGCUUAGAGUCCUCAAGAUAAAAUUUUAUCCCCAGGGGCUGGUGAGAUGGCUCAGUGGGUAAGAGCACCUGACUGCUCUUCCGAAGGUCCAGAGUUCAAAUCCCAGCAACCACAUGGUGGCUCACNUGGCUCACAACCAUCCGUAACAAGAUCUGACUCCCUCUUCUGGUGUAUCUGAAGACAGCUACAGUGUACUUACAUAUAAUAAUAAAUAAAUCUUUAAAAAAAAAAAUUUUAUCCCCAAAGCUCAGACUCUAUAGGACAAACUUAAACUUUUGAUCCCCUUACCUCUGUGAGUUACAAGCAUGUGUAAGCAGUUCAUGUGAUGUUAAUGAUCACAUCCAGGGCUUUUGGUGCAUGUUAUGCUAGGCAAGCUACCAACUGAGCUUCAUCCUCCGUCUGCAUUUAUUGGCUUCUAUAGUCAGGCUUCAGUGAUUAAUGGGCUCUCUGGAAGCCCACCUGUUAAAUUACUAAGCUCCAAGAGCCCAUCUGAUAAGCACCUGCAGGAAUCCCUCUUGUUUAGAACUGGAGAAGCAGCUGGGUGUGGUGGAGUACUCUGGACUUUGAUCACAGCCCUUGGAUGGCAGAGUCUGGUGGUGGUUUGAGCUUGAGGCCAGCCUAGUCUGUCUAGUGAGUUCCAUGACAGCAACAGUUGCAUAGUGAGACCCUGUUUAAAACAAACAAAUGAACAACGCCCCUAAACUUUGAGUCCCCCCAGGACCAUAUUCCAAAUGUUUCAUACAUUAUUGCUGAGUGUGGAUUUACUUUAAAGGCCAUGGGAAGAUGCUGAGUCGUCGUUAGCGGGGAAGCCAUAUGAUGUGCUUGGUAUUAUUCUGCUGCUGCAGUGUAGACCAUGGACUGGGGCUAUUGAAGACACAAAAGCAAGAAAAUGUUGAGAGCUGGAAGGAGGGAGGUGGUUGAUGAGAUGGCUGAGAAUACAAACUUGAGGUGUUUUACCAGAAGACAUGAGCCUGGAACUAAGAGAUGCAGGAGGGCAGGAGCAGCUAGCUAGUGUGCCAGAGAUUUGCUGUUUCGACUUAGGCUAGUGGGUGAGUGCUGACGCAAUUGAGGCAAAAAAUAAAAAUACUGGAAUGAGCAUGUGAGAAUAAUGAGUUCAGAUAAUCCAUGGGUUUGGUUUGAGGUCUCUGGGACACCCUAGAGAUGUACUGUUAGUACUUAGACAUGACAGAACGUAGUGUAGUGAAUGUUUACAGACUGGAAGAACAUGGCAAAGAAAAGUGGAAGGUGUGACGAGAAAGAAAGACUUAAUGCUAAGGAGACAGCAGCAGGCUUUGGACUUCUUAACUGAUCUACUACUCCACGCUUGGCUGUAGCCGUCAGUCCGACUUUCGUUAGUCAUCAGGUCUAAUAAUUGAGUGAAUCAAGUUUUGAGGACAUCACUAAACCAAGACAGAUUCACCCAUUAUUCAAACACAGACGGUCCCUUGCAAGUGUGACUUAAACUGAUGACAGUGGAGAGGAAGAGACUUGGAUUGCGCAGAAGCGGCAGUCUGUUUUCCUGGGCUAGUGAUGAUUCUCGUCAUGCUGGGCAUGUUACCAGUUUGUGCAACGGCAGACUAACGUAAUGUUCUGAACACUUGAGGGAAUCUAGGUAAGGCCUUGGUACAUUAGGUUAAAUGCAUCUUCAGUUUACACCACUUUCAACUUAAACGCAGGUUAUUAGAACAGAACCCCAUCCGGAGUUGACAUAUGCAAAUACUUGCAGGCCAGGAUGACAGGAUCAACAGCAGACGUUUCCGGCUGGGGAGAUGGGUCAGUAGGUAAAGAAGCCCGUGGCGGAGGUUGAUGGACUGGGACCCAUAUGGUGAGAGAGAACCAACUCUCACAUCUGUCCUCUGAGCACCAUGCGCAUGCCCCCCGCCAAUCAAAAAUGUAAUAAAAAUACAAGUUCCUACCUUUGUAACGGGACCACAGACUUAACACAGCUGACACCAUGACAGAAGUACCAUUCAAGCCUUAAAAUCCAGCACAUAGGCAGCAACACCUGCCCAAAGGAGGACAAAGACCUAAUCCACCAGUCUAUAGUCUUAAAAGGUUCCUAAAUAUACUAACGUUGCUUUUUGGCCUCUGCAGUUCCACAUCUGGGCGUUCUUGCUGAGGUGUGUCAACCCAGGAUGUGGUUUUUAUGCUUAAAAGUGCACUGUGAGAAAGGCUCAGGGCUGCACUAGGGUCCCACACACGCGGGGUAGUCACCAGCUGACCAAUGAAGAGUUUCUAUGGCUCGAACUCUUGCUGGAACAGACUUCUCUGUGGAUACCUACCUCAACACCUUCUUACAGGUACACUAACACAUUAUUUAUGGUUUGGAAGGUUUUUUUUGUUAUUUGGGACAGCAUUGCAUAUAAAACAAACUCACGGGGCUGGUGAGAUGGCUCAGUGGGUAAGAGCACCCGACUGCUCUUCCGAAGGUCCAGAGUUCAAAUCCCAGCAACCANNNNNNNNNNNNNAACCAUCUGUAACGAGAUCUGACGCCCUCUUCUGGUGUGUCUGAAGACAGCUACAGUGUACUUACAUGUAAUAAAUAAAUCUAAAAAAAAAAAAAAAAAACAAACUCACUAGGUAGCUGAAGCUGACGUUCAGUCUCUGAUCCUCCUGCCUCUAGCACCUCAGGUGCUAGAAUUUCAGGCAUGUAAUUUUGGAAGAUUUAAAAUAAACUUUGAAUGUU
ensembl:processed_transcript